rnacentral:lncRNA from 1 species
CAAAAGUUAAGGCGGCUGUCAAACCUUUUCGGUUGUCGUGACCCCGAGUAUGUAUCACCAGAACGUUCUAGGUCGGCGACACCAUCAGAUCCAACUUCUGGCCAUGAUAAUCCUUUGGACGAUGAGGAUGUGGGUGUGGUCACCCAAGAUGUGGGUGUGCUCACCCAAGAGGUAUGGCCUGAGGUUAUAUAUCCAAUUGUUGAUGCAUUUGCUAACUAUAUUCUCACAAACGGUCUUUCCAUAUCUUUUGUGGAUGCAUAGGUCUCUGAUGAUAUGACCUUGGAGACCUACAAGGUUCGGUCUGCAUACGAGUUAAAGCCUAGGAAGGGAAUCAACAAAUACACACCUGAGGACUUCACCCAAAGAGGCAAAAGGACGGUCGGCACCUCGCAGAUGGCUGCUUUGGACGACUAUUUGGAUGACGAUGUGGAUGACGAUGUGGAUGACGUGGAGGAACAGGAGCCAGAGCAGGAGCGGGUUCGUCUUCCUAGGAAAGUGAAGAAGAUACCCUCCAAGAGAGGGGGAGGAACCAGCAAGCGCGGAAGGAAGUAGUCGUCGUUCUCUUCUAGUAAUGGUAG